rnacentral:rRNA from 1 species
UGGGGAAUAUUGGACAAUGGGCGCAAGCCUGAUCCAGCCAUGCCGCGUGAGUGAUGAAGGCCCUAGGGUUGUAAAGCUCUUUCACCGGUGAAGAUAAUGACGGUAACCGGAGAAGAAGCCCCGGCUAACUUCGUGCCAGCAGCCGCGGUAAUACGAAGGGGGCUAGCGUUGUUCGGAUUUACUGGGCGUAAAGCGCACGUAGGCGGACUUUUAAGUCAGGGGUGAAAUCCCAGAGCUCAACUCUGGAACUGCCUUUGAUACUGGAAGUCUUGAGUAUGGUAGAGGUGAGUGGAAUUCCGAGUGUAGAGGUGAAAUUCGUAGAUAUUCGGAGGAACACCAGUGGCGAAGGCGGCUCACUGGACCAUUACUGACGCUGAGGUGCGAAAGCGUGGGGAGCAAACA